UACACUAGCAAGUGUUUGCUGAAAGGACCC
rnacentral:piRNA from 1 species